GGACAGUGAAGAUUUCUCUUAUGGUCUCGUUCGUCGUAAUGGACUGUUUUAGUUCUUGCCGAUAAUCCAUAUUCUGAGUUC